CGAGUGGCGGACGGGUGAGUAACGCGUGGGUAACCUGCCUUACACAGGGGGAUAACACCUGGAAACAGGUGCUAAUACCGCAUAAGCGCACAGGGCCGCAUGGCCCGGUGUGAAAAACUCCGGUGGUGUAAGAUGGACCCGCGUCUGAUUAGCUUGUUGGCGGGGUAGGGGCCCACCAAGGCGACGAUCAGUAGCCGGCCUGAGAGGGUGGACGGCCACAUUGGGACUGAGACACGGCCCAAACUCCUACGGAAGGCAGCAG
rnacentral:rRNA from 1 species